UACGGAGGGGGCUAGCGUUGUUCGGAAUUACUGGGCGUAAAGCGCACGUAGGCGGCUUUGUAAGUUAGAGGUGAAAGCCCGGGGCUCAACUCCGGAACUGCCUUUAAGACUGCAUCGCUUGAACAUCGGAGAGGUAAGUGGAAUUCCGAGUGUAGAGGUGAAAUUCGUAGAUAUUCGGAAGAACACCAGUGGCGAAGGCGACUUACUGGACGAUUGUUGGCGCUGAGGUGCGAAAGCGUGGGGAGCAAACAGG
rnacentral:rRNA from 1 species